GUUCAAACUGUGCAUUCGAGAGCGGUGAGUGGGAAGGUGAGCCGGUGAGAAAGCGACCAUCGAGAUGUGGAAGGAAAAAUCGGAGGACCCGGACAAAAGUCCAAGCGGACACGGGGAGAGAGACACGCAAGCUCUAAAUACACAGCAGGCGUCAGGGUCGGGAUCGAACCCACGAGCUCCUGUACGCCAGGCGAGGGUUGACGCGAUCGCUUUCCGUGACCGGGAGAGCCUCAGAGUCGAGCCGCUGCUGCUUCGGAUCGAGAGGAGCCAGUUGAGGUGGUUCGGGCACCCGGAAUCGACUUGGCAAACCUCGUGCAAGAAUAAAAUCGCGAACAAAGAUACCAUCACGCACGAAGUCACGUGUGCGUGCCUGGGCAUGCGCGCGUGAGAGAGUGACGCUGCAGCGGUGAGCGUCCUACACUUCAAACGUGGCAUUCCAGAUCUCGAUUGGGGUGCCACGGUCCACGUGUCAACCUGGUUAUGAACACGAGCCAACGAGAGGGAGCCCCCCAACCCCGUAGGGGGCAUCUGGCCGACUCGUUUCACGUGCGCCAGAUGUCUUUGAAGAGGUGAGAGAGCAUCCACGGCAUCACCCGGCUGCACGCGGAACCGGGGCCAGUCAACUGCUGGGGUGGACAGUGGUGAUGGACGUC